CCUACGGGGGGCUGCAGUGGGGAAUAUUGCACAAUGGGCGAAAGCCUGAUGCAGCAACGCCGCGUGAGCGAUGAAGGCCUUCGGGUCGUAAAGCUCUGUCCUCAAGGAAGAUAAUGACGGUACUUGAGCAGGAAGCCACGGCUAACUACGUGCCAGCAGCCGCGGUAAUACGUAGGCGGCUAUCGUUAUACGGAAUUACUGGGCGUAAAGGGUGCGUAGGUGGUUGCUUAAGUCAGAGGUGAAAGGCUAGGGCUCAACCGUAGUAAGCCUUUGAAACUGGGAAACUUGAGAGCAGGAGAGGUGAGUGGAAUUCGUGGUGUAGCGGUGAAAUGCGUAGAUAUUAGGAGGAACACCAGUUGCGAAGGCGGCUCUCUGGACUGUAACUGACACUGAGGCACGAAAGCGUGGGGAGCAAACAGGAUUAGAUACCCUAGUAGUC
rnacentral:rRNA from 1 species